rnacentral:rRNA from 1 species
CCUGAUCCAGCCAUACCGCGUGGGUGAAGAAGGCCUUCGGGUUGUAAAGCCCUUUUGUUGGGAAAGAAAAGCAGUCGGCUAAUACCCGGUUGUUCUGACGGUACCCAAAGAAUAAGCACCGGCUAACUUCGUGCCAGCAGCCGCGGUAAUACGAAGGGUGCAAGCGUUACUCGGAAUUACUGGGCGUAAAGCGUGCGUAGGUGGUUGUUUAAGUCUGUUGUGAAAGCCCUGGGCUCAACCUGGGAAUUGCAGUGGAUACUGGGCGACUAGAGUGUGGUAGAGGGUAGUGGAAUUCCCGGUGUAGCAGUGAAAUGCGUAGAGAUCGGGAGGAACAUCCAUGGCGAAGGCAGCUACCUGGACCAACACUGACACUGAGGCACGAAAGCGUGGGGAGCAAACAGGAUUAGAUACCCUGGUAGUCCACGCCCUAAACGAUGCGAACUGGAUGUUGGGUGCAAUUUGGCACGCAGUAUCGAAGCUAACGCGUUAAGUUCGCCGCCUGGGGAGUACGGUCGCAAGACUGAAACUC